GGAAAUCAUAAAAUGUUUAGCUAGUGACUUGUCAUGGUAACAAGCUAGCAAGAGGUUGCAAAGCAACAGCAUCAACUUCCGGUAGACAGGCGAAGCGCUAGUAUGCUCAACUGAAAUGAUACCGUUCGCUUACAGUAUACUAAAAUGAACUAAUAGUAUAUACUCAUUAAGUAUGUAGUAUACAGUAUGUUAGCAUGGGUAUUCGAACACUGCUCAGGUGUACUUACGUAUCUCAUCUUCUGUAGCCAGCGUAAUGCUUCGAACACACCGACUGCGUUUUGCAUCACUGCUGCAUAACAUUUUGCGCAGCUAGGCAACUAUACUGAUGCAGGUAUCUUUUGCAGAUGGUCGCAUGCGUUUGGACACAUGGAGAGAAUCAUUUUUGCAGUAUCCUCAAAACUGUGUCUUUUUGAGACAACUGCUGACAGCUACAGGGACAUAAACACAAAAAAUGCUGCUUGGAGACAAGUGUCCACGAUAGUAGGAUUGCCAGAAGAAGACUGUAGGAGGAAGUGGAGAGUACUCAGGGACAGGUAUCAGAGAGAGAGAAGGGCAGAGAAAGGGAAGAAGAGGUCUGGGUCAGCAGCUUCAGGCCAGCAGCCUUGGCGCUUUUGCCACAUUCUUUCUUCUCUUGAUCCAUUUAUUGUGCCUAGGGCAAUGAGUGGCAAUUUUACAGCCAGACCCUCAACGUCAUCUACAAGUGCGACCAUGGCCUUCACCGGUGCAGCAAGAUCCUCUACAACGUCUACGUCAUCCACGAGUAUGACCACCACCGGUGCAGCCAUGGAAGACGGGGCGGCAGCGAUAAAGACGAUGAAAUGGAGGAAGAACCUCUGGAUCUCGGACCACCUGAGAUUAUUAUGAACCCCACAGAAGUGACCACUGAGGACCUCGUUGAACAGGAUGUGGCCGUGGAGACAAACGAGGAGAGAAACACAGAGAGAGAAACGAAGAUGAACGUCGUCACACCAGGCAUCAUCGGAGGUACCAGCCCCCAGAGCCACUCAACUCAUUUCAGCAGAGGCUCUUCCAAGCCGUCGAGAGGGAUGCAGCCCAACCUGAUGCUCACAGGAAGGAGGAUGAAGAGACCCUCUUUGCCAUGAGCCUGGUGCCAACCCUGAAGAGGCUGCCUCAGCAAAGAAAAGCAGCAGUUAAGGUUAAAAUGUAUCAGCUGCUUUUCCAAGCCGAGUUCAAUGAGAUGGAGUCCAUUUAGCCGACCAGCUCACAGGAAGGACAGGAAGAGGAGAGGAGUUGUCUGGUUGUUGUUUUUGACCUCCUUCAUUGUACCUUUCUUUUCACACACGUCCGUUCCGUUUAAAUUCAGUCAAUUCAUAAAGUCAUUUGUUUAUAAAGUCUUAGGAUAGCAUUCAUUAUUAGUGUUACAUAGAUUUCUGAAUUGACAGAAUUGAAACUCAUACACCGAAGAACUCACAGAUGCUCUUGUUGGUCUCUUACGAGACUAAAGGUCAAUAUAUUUAUUUAAUUUAAAACCACUUGAAAACCAGGGUGUUGAAACUUUUUGUGAAGUUAUGUUCCAUCGACUGGUCCAUGACGUCCAGGGGCCAUUUGUUUGUUUAGCUGUGUUAUGGCUACACAUUCUUUUCUUUUUUUCAGAGACAGAGACACACACACCUCUCCUCCCUGUACCUCAGAUCUCCAGUGCCCUGCCCUCUCUCUCUUUAUGGCCAUGUCUGAAGUUCCCCUACUACGUCUAGGCUUUAUGAGUAGUCCCUGUAUCUGUCUGCAGUUGUACCAAAAAAGACAUGCUCUUGUUGUUCUCUUACAGAUUACAGGCUACACAUUCAUUUUUUUUUUUAAAUGUUUACACGCACACCUCUUUCAAUAGUUGUAUUUUUUUUAAACAUUUUUACAACACACAUACCUGUCAUGUUCUUUCCUGUACUUGAAUACUUAUUCAAUUAUAAUAUUUUCAUAGUCAGUUGUUUAUUAAUAUCUCAUUUAGACUUAAUCUGUGUAACGGCUGUCGUAGAGAGGGGACCAAAGCACAGCGUGUUGAUUGCUCAUGAUGAAUAUUUAUUUUAACU